GCUGGGCAUGGUGGUGCAUGCCUGUAGUCCUAGCUACUCAGGAGGCUGAGUUAGGAGAAUUGCUUGAGCCCAGGAGGUCAAGGCUUCAGUGAAUGGUAAUCAUGCCACUGCUCUCUAGCCUGGGUGACAGAGCAAGACUCUGUCUCUA
ensembl:misc_RNA Metazoa_SRP Metazoan signal recognition particle RNA